GGGAGUCCUUUUGCGUUUCAGAUGCUCCCAGGCUCUCCCGCAGUUUAAAGACUUAACUCAGCGGCUUUCAGGGCCUGUGGUUGAGGGACUCCGAAAGAACUGUUGCUGGUGGACCGGUUCAGGGUCUUGACUUCGCCACACAAAAGAACUUGAGAGCACGUCCAAAGUAAAGCUAAGACCUCUAGUACAGUGUUCAAUGGAACUGGUGAGAAAAGACGUCCUUGCUGUGUUCCUGAUAUGAAGAGGAAAGCAGUCCUUCUCCAUUAAGUAAAAUGCUGACAACAUGAGCCUCCCGUGGUCGGAACGGGCUUGUGAAGGCGGUGCUGGGGUGCACCAGGGCAGCAGCUACAGGUCCCAGAGCUGCUAUGUGGCUGAGCUGCAGUUCAGAGCCAGGGUGACUCAGCUUGCAAGCCUGUGCUCCUCACCUCCGUGGCAUGCUUCUCCCAGGCUGGCACUGAAUCACCGGAAGGACUCCUUAAGACAUGGAUAGGGGAUCCACCCCAGAGGUCCUGAAUCAGCAAGUCUGGGGAGGAGACUGAGAAUUGACUUUUCUAUCAAGUUCCCCAGUGAUGCUGAUGCUGCUGGUGUGCGUACCACGUUCUGGAACCUCCGCUCCCUGCUCUAGGGCCUUCUGGGUGGAGCCCUAGAGCUGAGCUCCCAGCUGUGGGCAUGGCAGGCACUGAAGAGUGUUGCUUUAGGGUAAUGUGUUAACAGUCUAAGAAGGUGCGUGGUGAGUAGGCUGACCAUUUCUCUCUCUUAUUGAACAAAAUAUUGCUAAGCCCUGGAUUUUCUCAGCUGUAAAUCACUGAAAUCUGAAUAAAAUUACCCCUACAAUGAAUCAAUCAAUAGAUUAAAA
rnacentral:lncRNA from 1 species